AACUUUAUGAGUUAUUUCUGCACACAUAAGAAUAUCUCUUUCAUGUUGCCUAAUGGAUGUGAAAUAACCUGGCCACAAUUCCAAUUUAUACUGAGCAACUACUACCUGUUAUUAGUACACAACACCUUCAUACAUGUAGGCCUACGGAUCCGAUUACUCGAGCACGAGGUAGAUAUGCAAAAUAGAAUCGAGCAAAUAAAUAAAAAUAUUCUA